ACGGCGCACGGGUGCGUAACACGUGGGUAAUCUGCCCUCUGAUGGGGAAUAACUCGCCGAAAGGCGAGCUAAUUCCGCAUAACAUUCCUUGGACUCCGGUCCGAGGAUUCAAAGGCGUAAGUCGUCGGAGGUGGAGCCCGCGCACGAUUAGCUAGUUGGUGAGGUAAUGGCUCACCAAGGCUAUGAUCGUUAGCUGGUCUGAGAGGAUGGCCAGCCACACUGGAACUGAGACACGGUCCAGACUCCUACGGGAGGCAGCAGUGGGGAAUCUUGCACAAUGGGCGAAAGCCUGAUGCAGCGACGCCGCGUGGGGGAUGAAGCUUUUCGGAGUGUAAACCCCUUUCGACCGGGACGAAUACCUCGUAAGAGGGGUGACGGUACCGGUAUAAGAAGCCCCGGCUAACUACGUGCCAGCAGCCGCGGUAAGACGUGGGGGGCCAGCGUUGCUCGGAAUUACUGGGUGUAAAGGGUUCGUAGGCGGUGUGACAAGUCGGGAGUGAAAUUCCUGGGCUCAACCCAGGGGCUGCUUCCGA
rnacentral:rRNA from 1 species